UACACGACUAAGUGUUUGUGAGAACAUCCUUAUUAUUGCACUCAUCUUCCGUAUACGUCUAUAUAAGCGAAUUCAGCCACACAAUUACAUUGUAACAAUGGAAAAAGAAUUAGUUGAAGAUAUUGUGAUUGUGGGGGCUGGAAUUGCUGGCCUCACAACAUCCUUAGGACUUCACAGGUUGGGUAUCCCAAGUUUGGUGUUGGAAUCCUCGGACACUUUGAGGGUUACUGGCUUUGCUUUGUCCAUAUGGCAAAAUGCUUGGAAGGCUUUGGAUGCUGUCGGUGUUGGAGACAUUCUCCGUCGCCAACAUCUCCAGCUCAAUGGGAUUGUCACCACUUCAUUGGUUACAGGUCAACAAACAGCAGCCAUGCCUUUCAGAGAAACAGGAAAUCGGAAAGAUAUUGAAAUUCGUUGUGUUAAAAGGAAGUCAUUGUUGGAAGCCCUUGUGAAUGAGCUUCCAACAGGCACCAUCAGAUAUUCGUCAAAAGUUGUUGGUAUUGAGGAAUCUGGCUUCUAUAAGAUACUCCAUCUUGCUGAUAAGACAACCAUAAAAGCCAAGGUGUUGAUUGGGUGUGAUGGAGUGAACUCCUUGGUGGCAAAGUGGCUAGGCUUCAAGGAGGCCUCUUUUACUGGGAGAUAUGCAGUCAGGGGUUUUGCAGAGUUCAAGACCAACCAUGGGUUUCAGCCCAGGUUCAUGCGGUUUUCCGGCAAAGGUAUUCGAGCUGGUGUUGUUCCUUGUAAUGAAAAGGCAGUCUACUGGUUUUUCACUUGGAUACCCACCAGCCAAGAGAAAGAGCUAGAAGAGAACCCUGCCAAACUGAAACAAUACGUGUUAGAAAAGCUUGAGAACAUGCCAAGUGAUGUUAGAGCUUUCAUAGAAAAAACGGAUGUAGAUGGAUUUUUAUCAUCUCCAUUGCGAUAUAGACAUCCCUGGGAUCUGAUGUUGGGGAACAUUAGUAAGGGCAACGCUUGUGUUGGUGGAGAUGCUUUCCACCCCAUGACUCCUGACCUUGGACAGGGAGGGUGUUGUGCUUUAGAGGAUGGGGUUGUUUUGGCCAGAUGCUUAGCGGAGGCCUUUUCCGAAGAACCAGGAAGAGGUGUCAAAGAGAAAGCCGAAGAGGUGCAUUAUAAAAAGAUUGAGGAAAGCUUGAAGAAAUAUGCAAAGGAGAGAAGAUGGAGAAGCAUUGAUGUCAGUGCCACAGCUUAUAUGGUGGGUUCUAUUCAGCAGGCUGAGUCCAAAUUGGUUACUUUUUUGAGGGAAAACAUCUUGGCCACAUUCUUAGUUAGUCAAUAUUUCAAGAA
rnacentral:sRNA from 1 species